rnacentral:tRNA from 1 species
AGGCCCAUAGUGAAAUGGCAUCACCAAGGUCUCCAAAACCUUUAUUUGAGGUUCGAAUCCUCAUGGGCCUG